rnacentral:rRNA from 1 species
GAGUUUGAUCCUGGCUCAGGAUGAAUGCUGGCGGCGUGCCUAACACAUGCAAGUCGAGCGGCAGCGAGUUUUACACUGAAUUCUGGAAGCUUCUGGGUAAUAUAGAAGAUUUAUUCAAGAAUUUUGUGUAAAAUGUCGGCGAGCGGCGGACGGCUGAGUAACGCGUAGGAAUUUGCCCCAAAGUGAGGAAUAACUGCCCGAAAGGGUAGCUAAUGCCGCAUAUGGUCUUCGGAUUAAAGCCUUCGGGCGCUUUGGGAGAAGCCUGCGUUGGAUUAGGUAGUUGGUAGGGUAAUGGCCUACCAAGCCGACGAUCCAUAGCUGGUCUGAGAGGAUGAUCAGCCAGACUGGAACUGAGACACGGUCCAGACUCCUACGGGAGGCAGCAGUGAGGAAUCUUCCACAAUGGGCGAAAGCCUGAUGGAGCAACGCCGCGUGAAGGAUGAAGGCCUUCGGGUUGUAAACUUCUUUUAUGAGUGAAGAAUAUGACGGUAACUCAUGAAUAAGCACCGGCUAACUACGUGCCAGCAGCCGCGGUCAUACGUAGGGUGCAAGCAUUAUCCGGAGUGACUGGGCGUAAAGAGUUGCGUAGGCGGUUUAAUAAGUGAAUAGUGAAACCUGGUGGCUCAACCAUACAGACUAUUAUUCAAACUGUUAAACUCGAGAAUGGUAGAGGUAACUGGAAUUUCUAGUGUAGGAGUGAAAUCCGUAGAUAUUAGAAGGAACACCGAUGGCGUAGGCAGGUUACUGGGCCAUUUCUGACGCUAAGGCACGAAAGCGUGGGGAGCGAACCGGAUUAGAUACCCGGGUAGUCCACGCCGUAAACGAUGGAUACUAGCUGUUGGAGGUAUCGACCCCUUCAGGUAGCGAAGCUAACGCGUUAAGUAUCCCGCCUGUGGAGUACGGCCGCAAAGGCUAAAACAUAAAAGGAAAUUGACGGGGACCCGCACAAGCGGUGGAUUAUGUUCUUUAAAUUCGAUGAUAACCGAAGAAACCUUACCGAGGGCUUGACAUCCGAGGGAAAGGUUCUGCGAAAAGUAGACUGUGCCUUUUGGAAACCCUGUGACAGGUGAUGCAUGGCCGUCGUUCAGCUCGUGUCGUGAGAUGUUAGGUUAAGUUCCUUCGAACGAGCGCGAACCCUUGUGAAUAGUUGUAUUUUUCUAUUUCAGAACUGCCCCGGUGAACGGGGAGGAAAGGAGGGGAUGAAUGUCGAGGUCGAGUAUUUUCCCUUGACGUUCCUGGGCUAGAAACGUUAU